GUUUCCUGCUUUAUUCCGCGUUCAGGCGCUCAAAACCAUCGGUCCGAAGCCCCAAACCCGGGCGGGGGAAUUCGGGGAGUGUCACCCCCAUCUCCGCCGGCUCAACAGCUUCUUCUCACCCCGAAGAACGGAGACAAUUUGUCCUGAAGAAUAUUCUCGAAGAAGCAUCAUCAGUACCUGGCAGAAGUUUUCCUGUCCCCUUCACAUUGGCUUCUGUAUCAACCUGGAACUGAUAUGGACUUAAUUAGCACUGUUACCAUUUGAUAUUCACAAAAUGCAUUCAGUGCUGAGAAGGUGGAAAAUAUUGUUUAUUGUGGCACAAAUGUUACAUAAGCAAAACUAAACUGGCAAUUGUUGAUGGUCUAAGUAUUUGCCUUCUUUCCUGUGAAAUGCUUAACUAAGGUCUGAUAUAACCCACUGCCUCCAGAAACCACAUACUGCAAGUAGCUGAGUGGAGUCCACUUGUGUGUAAUUCCAGUGCCACUUGAUCUCAGAUUGAAUACAGCUGUUUCUGGAAGGUCCCAAAGUUUGUUUGAGACCAUAACUAAACAAACAGCAUCAUGAAGACCAAGGAACUAUCAAAACAAUUCUGGGAUAAAGUUGUGCAGAAGCACCAAUCAGGACUGAGGUUUUUUAAAAAAAAAUACCCCAAACCAUGAACAUUCUUCCAGAGUACAAUUAAAUCCUUUACAGAGAUAAUAUAGCUUAACUACAACUCUGCCUUUAGAAGGCCAUCCGUCAAAACUCUGUGACUGGGUAAGGAGGUCAUAAAUCAGAGAAGCAAUCAAGAGGUCAGUGGUAACUCUGAAGAACCCAGACAAAUCUGCAACUGAGAUGAGAGAAACCAUUCAUGGGACAACCCUCACCUGGACACUCCACAAAGCUGGGCUUUAUGGAAGAGUAGCAAGAAGAAAGCUAUAGUUGAAACAAGCCCAUUGAAAAGCCCAUCUGGAGUUUGCAAAAAGACACAUGGAAGGCAUAGCAAACAUAUGGAAAGGUUCUCUGAUCUGAUGAGACUAAAACUGACUUUUUUUCCCUUGCUACAAAGCCCUAUGUGUGGUGCAGGGCCAACAGUGCGUGUUGCCUGAAUGCACCAUCCCUAACCCUAAGAUGCCAUAACGGUUGAAACUUUAUUCAGGAAAAACAGAACGGGAUUAUGAUCAAGGGUAUAAAAACAAAUCCAGACUAGCAAGUCAUCAUUCCCUUAUUCAAUGUCAGGACAAGAAGCUUAGUUACCAUAGUUCAAACACCCACUCACAUAGUAAUCCAUGAACAGGUAGGCAUGGUUACUGUCAGUCAGAAGUCAAAGAAAGCCCCUCUCUUUCUCCUGCAGUGUCAACUGGCAUAUACAAAGGUGUUAAGCAAGAUGUUCCCAAGCAAGGAAACCUUCUAGCUUCAGCUAAGUUUACUUGGAGAUUUUUUUUUCCUGAAAGCAAACAAAAGCUGUGAUGUUACAUUUCACACUUGACAAAGACUUAGAUGGGGAUCAAAGACAGUUGUCUAAUGUGGAUAAUACAAAACUGGUUCAUACAUGACUGUGAAGUCAGAGGUAUUAAUUCUCAAUUUCUGCCCAUCUGGUUUGGAUGUAGUAACUAUAAAGGCUGAACUAAUGAUAUGGUUCAUUUCCACAUGAACACUGACCACCGAACUUCAUGACGUUUGGGGCUGGAAAGAACCAUAUUAUCUCACAGGGUUCAUACCUUCAAACUUUACUAAAGCAGUGUGAGGAAAAUAAUCACAAGUUAGAGACCACCUUGCUGCUGCAGUAAAAUUUGGAAUUGGCAUUAACCCUUAUCAAAUGUAAGAGGGAAACUAUCUUCCUAACAUCAAAACAAAAUGGCUGUGAAAUUUAUAGAAUACAGGACCAAACCAUUUGCCCGAGACUUACAUUUUUCUUACUCUUGUGUAAAUGCAUGCGGUCCCAUACAGAUGGAGAGGGAUGUGGAGACUGCCCAGUAUACUAUAUGCACACUUUUACUUUGUUCUUAGUAGGCCUGACAUUAUCAAAAGAAAUCUUGCACUUGGGUCAAGAAACCAAAACAAAGACAAAAAUAGCACAAUUUACUAUCCACAAUAUAAGUUAAACAACUUUAGAAGUGAUACUUUCAUAAAGGAAUUUGUAGCAUUCCAAACAAAGCACAAAUUGCAUUAAGUUGCAAUAACUAGAAAUAAAUGUUGUAUUAAGACUAACCUUUGAGUUCCACAAAAAUUUAAACUGCCACUUUUAAGAAUGUGAAUGCUGAAAGUAAAGCGCAUAGGUGACUCUAUUAAAGUGAAAUAAAAUUUAAACUCCUAAAAUC